rnacentral:rRNA from 1 species
UACAGAGGGUGCGAGCGUUGUCCGGAAUCACUGGGCGUAAAGGGCGCGUAGGUGGCGUCGCAAGUCGAUGGUGAAAGCUCGGCGCUCAACGCCGAGUCGGCCCCUUGAUACUGCGAGGCUGGAGCACUGUAGAGGCAGAUGGAAUUCCGGGUGUAGCGGUGGAAUGCGUAGAGAUCCGGAAGAACACCGGGUGGCGAAGGCGGUCUGCUGGGCAGUAGCUGACACUGAGGCGCGACAGCGUGGGGAGCAAACAGG